UACGAAGGGGGCUAGCGUUGCUCGGAAUCACUGGGCGUAAAGCGCACGUAGGCGGAUCUUUAAGUCAGGGGGUGAAAUCCUGGAGCUCAACUCCAGAACUGCCUUUGAUACUGAGGAUCUUGAGUCCGGGAGAGGUGAGUGGAACUCCGAGUGUAGAGGUGAAAAUUCGUAGAUAUUCGGAAAGAACACCAGUGGCGAAGGCGGCUCACUGGCCCGGUAUGACGCUGAGGUGCGAAAGCGUGGGGAGCAAACA
rnacentral:rRNA from 1 species